UAAGAGACAGCAGCCGCCGCGGUAAUACGAAGGGUGCAAGCGUUACUCGGAAUUACUGGGCGUAAAGCGUGCGUAGGUGGUGGUUUAAGUCCGUUGUGAAAGCCCUGGGCUCAACCUGGGAAUUGCAGUGAUACUGGGUCACUAGAGUGUGGUAGAGGAUAGUGGAAUUUCCGGUGUAGCAGUGAAAUGCGUAGAGAUCGGAAGGAACAUCUGUGGCGAAGGCGACUAUCUGGGCCAACACUGACACUGAGGCACGAAAGCGCGGGGAGCAAACAGGAUUAGAGACCCCUGUAGUCCCUGUCUCUUAUACA
rnacentral:rRNA from 1 species